rnacentral:rRNA from 1 species
GGGGAAUAUUGGACAAUGGGGGCAACCCUGAUCCAGCGACGCCGCGUGGGUGAUGAAGGCCUUCGGGUCGUAAAGCCCUGUUGGGGGGGACGAAACAGCGGAAUAAUAACCCGCCUUGACUUAACCCCCUGAGGAAGCACCGGCUAACUCUGUGCCAGCAGCCGCGGUAAUACAGAGGGUGCAAGUGUUGUUCGGAAUCAUUGGGCGUAAAGGGCGCGUAGGUGGUCCGGUAAGUCAGAUGUGAAAGCCCUGGGCUUAACCCAGGAACUGCAUUUGAGACUGCCGGACUAGAGUUCAGUAGAGGAUAGUGGAAUUCCCGGUGUAGAGGUGAAAUUCGUAGAGAUCGGGAGGAACACCAGUGGCGAAAGCGGCUAUCUGGGCUGCAACUGACACUGAGGCGCGAAAGCGUGGGGAGCAAAC